GCCCCGGUAAACGGCGGCCGUAACUAUAACGGUCCUAAGGUAGCGAAAUUCCUUGUCGGGUAAGUUCCGACCUGCACGAAUGGCGUAAUGAUGGCCAGGCUGUCUCCACCCGAGACUCAGUGAAAUUGAACUCGCUGUGAAGAUGCAGUGUACCCGCGGCAAGACGGAAAGACCCCGUGAACCUUUACUAUAGCUUGACACUGAACAUUGAGCCUUGAUGUGUAGGAUAGGUGGGAGGCUUUGAAGUGUGGACGCCAGUCUGCAUGGAGCCGACCUUGAAAUACCACCCUUUAAUGUUUGAUGUUCUAACGUUGGCCCGUAAUCCGGGUUGCGGACAGUGUCUGGUGGGUAGUUUGACUGGGGCGGUCUCCUCCUAAAGAGUAACGGAGGAGCACGAAGGUUGGCUAAUCCUGGUCGGACAUCAGGAGGUUAGUGCAAUGGCAUAAGCCAGCUUGACUGCGAGCGUGACGGCGCGAGCAGGUGCGAAAGCAGGUCAUAGUGAUCCGGUGGUUCUGAAUGGAAGGGCCAUCGCUCAACGGAUAAAAGGUACUCCGGGGAUAACAGGCUGAUACCGCCCAAGAGUUCAUAUCGACGGCGGUGUUUGGCACCUCGAUGUCGGCUCAUCACAUCCUGGGGCUGAAGUAGGUCCCAAGGGUAUGGCUGUUCGCCAUUUAAAGUGGUACGCGAGCUGGGUUUAGAACGUCGUGAGACAGUUCGGUCCCUAUCUGCCGUGGGCGCUGGAGAACUGAGGGGGGCUGCUCCUAGUACGAGAGGACCGGAGUGGACGCAUCACUGGUGUUCGGGUUGUCAUGCCAAUGGCACUGCCCGGU
rnacentral:rRNA from 1 species